UACGAACCGUGCGAACGUUGUUCGGAUUCACUGGGCUUAAAGGGCGCGUAGGCGGGCGGUCAAGUCAGGGGUGAAAUCUUUCGGCUCAACCGGAAAAGUGCCUUUGAUACUGGCCGUCUCGAGGGAGGUAGGGGCAUGCGGAACUUCCGGUGGAGCGGUGAAAUGCGUAGAUAUCGGAAGGAACGCCGGUGGCGAAAGCGGCGUGCUGGACCUCUUCUGACGCUGAGGCGCGAAAGCCAGGGGAGCAAACGGG
rnacentral:rRNA from 1 species